ensembl:misc_RNA
AAAAGGAGAUAUGAAAUUCAACUUUUUGCUUUCUUUCCCUUUUUGCUUUUCACAUAGUUCAGUUGGGAAUCUUUCUAGGUGCGGUAUUUAUUUUGUUUGUGUUAGUCUGGUCAUUAUAAAGUUAUCUAGGAAGCUAGGAGAGCUGACCAGCAGAAGGGAAAAAAAGCAGUCUAUUCUGACUACACUGACCAAAGGAGUUCAAUUCAUACCAAACAUCUUUCUCCCACUUAGAAAACAUCCUAGCAUUUAAGGCCUUCUACUAUAAGCCCAUUACUAGUUCUUUUCCUUUCUCUUUCAUUUCUCUCUGCUCUCAUAUUUGUGUCGACUGUUCCUA